UACGUAGGUGGCAAGCGUUGUCCGGAUUUACUGGGCGUAAAGAGCGCGCAGGCGGUCGUUCAAGUCGCGUGUGAAAGCCCCCGGCUCAACUGGGGAGGGUCACGCGAUACUGAUCGACUCGAAGGCAGGAGAGGGUAGUGGAAUUCCCGGUGUAGUGGUGAAAUGCGCAGAUAUCAGGAGGAACACCGGUGGCGAAGGCGGGUCUCUGGGCAACAACUGACGCUGAGGAGCGAAAGCGUGGGGAGCGAACAGG
rnacentral:rRNA from 1 species